rnacentral:rRNA from 1 species
GACGAACGCUGGCGGCGUGCUUAACACAUGCAAGUCGAACGCUCGUAGCAAUACGAGAGUGGCAGACGGGUGAGUAACACGUGGGAACCCUCCCUAUGGUUCGGAAUAGCUCAGGGAAACUUGGGGUAAUACCGGAUAAGCCCUUCGGGGAAAGAUUUAUCGCCAUUGGAUGGGCCCGCGUCGGAUUAGCUAGUUGGUGAGGUAACGGCUCACCAAGGCAACGAUCCGUAGCUGGUCUGAGAGGAUGAUCAGCCACACUGGGACUGAGACACGGCCCAGACUCCUACGGGAGGCAGCAGUGGGGAAUCUUGCGCAAUGGGCGAAAGCCUGACGCAGCGACGCCGCGUGAGGGAUGACGGCC